rnacentral:misc_RNA from 1 species
GGAUGAUCAGCAAAAAUCCAUUGAUGACUUGAGGCUACAAGCAGUAAAACCAUCAGUGCACAAUGGCUAUGAGAGAGUCCAAUACUUCCCAUUUACUCGUAUAAACACACAGUUAGUAGAUCAACAGUAAAAGUGAAAGGCAAAUUUCACUAUAAUGAGAUCGAGGACAAAGAGAUCAAAGUGAAACGUAGUCCACUAACCCAAAUUAGCACACUUGUUCCUAAGUUAAACGGAUGAUAAAUAUCUAAAAUACAACCUCAUGGCACAGGGAGGGCAGUAGCCAGUCCGGGGUCUCUUUAGACCCGCCAAUAAUCAUGCAUAAAUUAUUCAACCACAGGAAUGCCUAUGAUUGGCCUCAUUUUCAAACUCACUACAAUACCCUGAAAAACCAGGAGGUAAGGUGAUUUUAGUAGCUGUUUUGCCAUAACUGUUGAGUCUGCUUUGAUGGUUGGCCCUGAGAACCUCCAAGGGAAGCAUCCCUAGAGUUUUGCUGCUGGUGUUCAAGUGAGAUCCCUGUUUGGGAAUGAUAAUAAUUUGGGUAACCAAGAGUCCCAAAAUGCUGUGACAGCUGUUGACCUUGCCGAAAUCCUCCAGGCUGCUGAUUCUGUCCCUGGAAGCUGUAAUAUGUGCUAGCAGGAACAGCAGACAUCGUUCGUGAACCAGGCCCAUGAACCCACAUGGCUGAAUUCUCAUUCUGUUGAGAAGAGAUCAAAUGGUUGCCAUCCUUGUACUGAGAACUUAAAACAUCAUCAUAGCCUAUGGUUGUGCCUCCAGGAGCAGUGGGGGGAUUCAGAGGAAAGUUUCCUGCAGGAAUGCUCGUUGAACUCCCAAACCCAUACGCUGAAGCAACAGCAGCAGAUUGAGGCAAGCUGCUUACAGAAACAUUAUUCUUGUAUUGUGGGAGCACUGCUGCCAGAGACUGAUGAUAUGUGCUAUUACCAGCAAAGGUCUGCUGGAAAGCUGAUGGCAUGUAUGCAUAGCUCUGUGGCAAAAAUGGAUAGCCAAUCAUGUUGGCAAAAGGGCCCAAUGGAAGGGUGGGUUGUGAAUAAGGAUGCACAGUAAGAUGUUGGGGAAGAGUAGGUCCCAUAGCAACACUAGCACCAGGAAGUGUCUGCAGAGUUGGCUGAGGUGUAGAAAUACUACCGGAUCUCAGAGCCUGCUACAUGUAGAAGAUAAAUCAGAAGAGAAGGACAGCAUAAUACUCCAAAAAAGGAUUUAAUUAGGUUUUUCCCAUCAUAUAGUCCUAGAUAUUAUCUUCAGAAAACUCAGCUAAGAAAAUUGGAUAAUGCAUAUAUAAAUACAUGAUGUCAUCGAUAUAGAAAACUCAAUUUAUUCAUUUACAUCAUUUCUUACAAUUCAUCAUUAACGACAUGCACAUUUAUUGCUAAUGACACAAGCAAAGACUACUGAGUUCUCACAAUAUCUAUGACAAUCAGAAUACAGACAUCUGAUUUCAGAUGAAAAUAACAUAAUACAAUGGCCAUAGAGGCACCCACAGGCAAGAAUUAUUACUAUUAUUAUCAUUAUUAAGCACUAAAGAGAUCAAUCAGAAUAUCCACCAACAAUAUGUAAACAAAAUGGUAAAAACUCCAUGUGUCCUUUGUAAGAGAUAAUUAUCCUCCAACUUAUCCAGAAAAUAGGAACAUCCACCAGACUCAAAACCAAUUAGGAAGCAGUAGUACUUGCCAAGUUAUACAAGUCAAAAAGCUAUCAAAGAACUUAUUCCUUCAAACGGACAUGUUGGAAUUAAAUGAAAACUUAGCAGUUGUAUAUGCACAGACAUGUACAGAAUAAAACACACGCAUGAAGGCAGUAAAUAGAAAGAACCACAAGCACUGAUCCUUUAAAAGCUAACGAAAACUCCAACGAGGUGGAAAUGAGCAAAUCUAAUCUAAGAUUCUUCAGCCAUGUGCAGCAAAGGCCAGAAACUGUUGCAAUGAGAAGCUUUAUGAGCAUCAUAACUCAUAAGGAAUGAUAUCAAGUCAGAAAGUAUUAAUGUAAGCUGAAAGACAAAAAUAAAUGCCUUCUUAUGACACAUGGUGAGACAUUGCCAGAUGUCAGGGAAGUAUAUUAUAGCCAAUAAAAAGAGCAAGGCUAAGAUUUCCAAAUCCCAAGUCAAGUAACCUCAAUAUCCUUAUCAUUAGGCAAUGAUGUUUCUUAUUUCUCCGAAAUAAAUUUUCUAUUUAAGAAGAAAAGAGUUACACAUAUCAACUUCUUAAUUGCACACAAAUAUUUGAUAAUGCUAACAUAAAGUAUAUACCUCUGGCAUGGAAAUGCUUGUACCACUAAUGGAAGAAGCUGUAUUGCUGUAUUUGGCGGGCAUUGAUUGUGUCACAGGGAAAGGUAAAUAUGGAAGGUCAGGCUCCCUUCCAGGUUGAACAGGAGAAGCCAACGAAGUGCUUGGCAAUGAAUUUGUAUAUCCCUGCUGUAAUGACAAUGUAUUAAGCAAGAAAUUGAAUCAACCCGAUGUUUGUAGCUCAGUCUUCUAAGUCCAGUUUUAAUCACAAAACAUAGACAAGCACAUAUGAAAAAAAAAAGCAUAAAGACCUGCAUGCACACACUCAAGAUGCAAAAGCAAAUUAAGGACAACGAAAAUAAAACUUCAGUAUAAUAAUGGCAAAGAUAUUGUUCAUAUUAUGAAACCUUUUUAAUUUCCCCAAUAAUUUCAUCUAAGCAAUUUUUUAAUACUUCUACACCUCUCAUGCAGAAAAGGAAAAGUAAAAAUUUUCUAGAAUAUAAAACCAUUUAGCAAAACAAAUAGCCUAUCCAGAAUCCUUUACCAUAGCUACAAAACCAAUUCAUUCUUUUAAUAAAAAUUUGCCCUCAGCAAACACUCAAUCACAUAAAAAAUUUCACAUACAACUCAGCAACAAUAAAUUUCACAUACUCAAGUGAAAAAUGUGUAGUUUGUCAUAUUACCAUUACACUUGAGAAAGGAGCAACAUUUGGCAUCUGAGAGCUCGUCUGUGGGUUAUUAAAUGCAGCAUUCAACUGUUGGGCAUUGUCAUAAGUAUAUCCAGGUGCAGAUGAAGGAAAUGCAUAUUGAUUCACCUGAGCUGCUUCAGGGGUUUCCUCCAGCACCUCCGGUUGUGGAACUGAAGGAGAAUCAUAAUUGCCGGGACUCAUACCAGGUCCAUGUAUUAAAUUUUCAUCUGCAGUAUUUCUGAGAUGCUCAUCCCCAUAAUACUCAGGAUUUCUAGUAUCUGGGUGUGUUGCUGAUGAGGUGUCCACCACUUCAGAUGUCUCUUCCAGGUUAUUUUUCAAAGGCCUUGAUGCAAAUGGCCCAGAAAAGGCAGAACUAAUGCCAGAUCCAAAACUACCAAAGCUCAAGUGUGAACAGUCUUGUGCAUGAACUUGCAGGUGAUUUGGAAUUAUUACAGAAGGAUUAUCCUCCUCAGGAGGUGCCCCUUGAUCAUCACUCUGUAAACUUAGUUGCUGCAAGUUUGCAGCCACAGAUGAAGCACCAUCGUCAGCUUCACGCUCAAAAGCAUGCCUGGGAGGCUGGUAGGAACUCACAUUCCCAUACAAAUUAUUAUCAAAAAUAGAUGAACCCACAGAGCCAUCUUCCUGUAUGUUUCUACUGGAUACAGAAGCAGGUCCAACAUGGCUUCCAUUAAGAGUUUCAACAUGACCAUCUUCGGCUGGCUGAAUAUCAUCUAACUGAGGCUUCAUGUGUUGAUUAACUCUAUCCAAGGGAAAGUUAGCUUGAUCAGCAUACAGUUCAGAAUCAUGAGGUGCCCCUAAAACAGAAGGUAUACUAGCAGCCGAUGGCUCCUCAAUAGAUGGCCAUUCAUCAUCGGAAUGAACGUGUUGGCUUGCACUAAGUUCUGGCUCGGCAUUUAUUUCUGACAACUUGGCAGCAUGAUUUUCUGACAAAUGUAAAUCAUGAUUUGAUGCUGUUAAAGGAGGUGCUGCAGGAUGGUGAUGAUUUACACCAUGAAGAGUUGGCAUAGCAGAUGCCUUGUUAUGCGGCCGUCCCAUCUUCACAAUGUCAGCCAUCGACACUUGACCUGGAACCCCCAACCAGGGAGAUUGAAAUCCAGAAGGAGGUUGUAAUGGUAAACAAACUCCAUCACCCACACCUACAGUUGCCAUUUUAUUUUCUGUGGCCACAGAAUCACUGAGCAAUGCUUGUGGUCUCCGAUUAGCAUUAUUUCCUGCAAUACUGGAUGCAGAAGAUGAAGAAGCAGCGUAAGCAUGUGUUUCAUUUUCCUUCUUGUAUGCAGGUUUAGCAUGGGAAACACCAGUCUCACGUCCAUAACGGUCGGCACCACCUCUGCCACCACGAUGUGUUGUGUUAUUGCCACCACGGGGCCUUGGAUCAGUUAUCUCCUUAUUCUCUUUUUUCUUUUCUCGUUUGCUCUUGACCUCACGGAAAGGAUCUUGAGAGAGGAGGCGAUUAACGGCCUCGUUAGGGUCCAUAUUACACUCUUUUAGCAUAGCGUAGAUCUCGGGCUCUGGACAGUUCACAAUCUCCUUCAAGCUCUGCACCAUCUUUCUCGACCCCGGCGGAAUCCCUGAAAUUCCACUAUUACCCUUCCCAUUACUGUUGCUGUUAUUGCUAGCUGCUCCUCCUCCUCCUCCU